rnacentral:rRNA from 1 species
UGGGUAACCUGCCUCAAAGAGGGGAAUAGCCUCCCGAAAGGGAGAUUAAUACCGCAUAAUAUGUUUAGGUCGCAUGACUUUAACAUCAAAGGAUUUUCUUUUAGAAAUUCCACUUUGAGAUGGACCCGCGGCGCAUUAGCUAGUUGGUGAGGUAACGGCUCACCAAGGCAACGAUGCGUAGCCGACCUGAGAGGGUGAUCGGCCACAUUGGGACUGAGACACGGUCCAGACUCCGUAGGAGG